GGCGCUAUAGCCAAGUGGUUACGGCGACAGAUUAGAAUAAAGUUAAACCAGUGUGCAAUCUGUUCCUCUUUGAGGGCGCAGGUUCAAAUCCUGCUGGCGUCG